GUGCGCGCCCACUGUCACCAUGUGCCUCCCGUGUGCCGGCUUUUUUGUUCCAACUAUGCAAUGUUUAUCAAGAAUAAUGUUCCUAAUAAGUUUGAAAUAAAAGUUGGCCGAAACAAUAUUUUGGAAGAUUCGUACCACAUAUUAUAAGCUCGAAUCCGUUAAGAGUUGAUAUUCUAAAAACGAAAUUAUGGGUAGAAUUUAAAGGAGAGAUAGGCUUAGAUUACGGUGGCCUUGCAAGAGAAUGGUUCUUUUUAUUGUCUAAAGAAAUGUUUAAUCCAUACUAUGGACUUUUUGAGUAUUCUGCAACCCAUAAUUAUACACUGCAAAUUAAUCCUUGUUCUGGUGUAUGUAAUGAGGAGCAUUUAAAUUAUUUUAAAUUUAUUGGACGUAUAGCAGGAAUGGCUGUUUAGGGGUGCGCACGAUUGGACACCGCACGAUUGGACACCACCACUCACAGCGGCCGAUGCCUAGAGUU
rnacentral:lncRNA from 13 species